GGCUCGGUGGUGGACGGUCCACACCUGCGACUCGUGUUGUCUGUAUGCAGGUCUUUCCACUUGCAGGACGGCCUGUUCGACUCAGGCCCGAGCCA